rnacentral:rRNA from 1 species
UGCCAGCCGCCGCGGUAAUACGGAGGGUGCAAGCGUUAAUCGGAAUUACUGGGCGUAAAGCGUGCGCAGGCAGUUUUAUAAGUCAGAUGUGAAAUCCCCGAGCUCAACUUGGGAACUGCGCUUGUGACUGGAGAGCUAGAGUGUAGCAGAGGGGGAUAGAAUUCCUGGUGUAGCAGUGAAAUGCGUAGAUAUCAGGAGGAAUACCGAUGGCGAAGGCAGUCCCCUGGGUUAACACUGACGCUCAUGCACGAAAGCGUGGGGAGCAAACAGGAUUAGAUA